rnacentral:rRNA from 1 species
AGAUGGCGACCGGCGCACGGGUGAGUAACACGUAUCCAACCUGCCGAUAACUCGGGGAUAGCCUUUCGAAAGAAAGAUUAAUACCCGAUGGCAUAAUAGAACCGCAUGGUUUGAUUAUUAAAGAAUUUCGGUUAUCGAUGGGGAUGCGUUCCAUUAGGCAGUUGGUGGGGUAACGGCCCACCAAACCUUCGAUGGAUAGGGGUUCUGAGAGGAAGGUCCCCCACAUUGGGACUGAGACACGGUCCAA